GACGAACGCUGGCGGCGUGCUUAACACAUGCAAGUCGAACGGCAAGGCCCUGCUUUUGUGGGGUGCUCGGGUGGCGAACGCGUGAGUAACACGUGAGUAACCUGCCCUUGACUUUGGUAUAACUUCAGGAAACUGGGGCUACUACCGGAUAGGAGCUCCUGCUGCAUGGUGGGGGUUGGAAAGUUUCGGCGGGUGGGGUUGGACUCGCGGAUUAUCAGCUUGUUGGUGGGGUAGUGGCUUACCAAGGCUUGGACGGGUAGCCGGCCUGGGAGGGUGAACGGCGACAAUGGGACUGAGAGACGGCGCAGACUCCUACGGGAGACAGCAGUGGGGAAUAUUGUACAAUGGGCGGAAGCCUGAUGCAGAAGCGUCGCGUGCGGGAUGACGGCCUUCGGGUUGUGAACCGCUUUCGCCUGUGACGAAGCGUGAGUGACGGUAAUGGGUAAAGAAGCACCGGCUAACUACGUG
rnacentral:rRNA from 1 species